rnacentral:rRNA from 1 species
GAUGAACGCUGGCGGCGUGCCUAAUACAUGCAAGUCGAGCGAACAGACGAGGAGCUUGCUCCUCUGACGUUAGCGGCGGACGGGUGAGUAACACGUGGAUAACCUACCUAUAAGACUGGGAUAACUUCGGGAAACCGGAGCUAAUACCGGAUAAUAUAUUGAACCGCAUGGUUCAAUAGUGAAAGACGGUUUUGCUGUCACUUAUAGAUGGAUCCGCGCCGCAUUAGCUAGUUGGUGAGGUAACGGCUUACCAAGGCAACGAUGCGUAGCCGACCUGAGAGGGUGAUCGGCCACACUGGAACUGAGACACGGUCCAGACUCCUACGGGAGGCAGCAGUAGGGAAUCUUCCGCAAUGGGCGAAAGCUUGACGGAGCAACGCCGCGUGAGUGAUGAAGGUCUUCGGAUCGUAAAACUCUGUUAUUAGGGAAGAACAAAUGUGUAAGUAACUAUGCACGUCUUGACGGUACCUAAUCAGAAAGCCACGGCUAACUACGU